AGCUCUGUAAGCGUAUACCAAAGUUGUUGCAGUUAAAACGCUCGUAGUCGGAACUUGGCCGUGUCGGAUAUGCACACGUCGUGUGCGCGUAUUGCAGACAUGGCUUUUGUGGUUUUCGCGUACGAUGAGGCACGUUUAUUCGUGAACGUCGUCACGCAGCCACUCUUUACUGUGAGAAAAUCAGAGUGCUCAAAGCAGGCAUUUGCCGUGAAUGUAUUAGCAUGGAAUAAUAGAAUAGGACUCGGUUCUAUUUUGUUGGUUUGUUGGGGCUGAGUAAUGAUUAAGAGGGACAGUUGGGGGCAUUUGUAUUUCGGCGCUAGAGGUGAAAUUCUUAGAUUGCCGAAAGACAAACUGCUGCGAAAGCGUCUGCCAAGGAUGUUUUCA
rnacentral:rRNA from 1 species